rnacentral:lncRNA from 1 species
UAAAAAAUAUACAAAGUGUAGUUUCAAAAUAAUGGGAAACUUUUAUGGAGCAUAAGAUUUCUGCUAAAACAACAAAUCCAGCUAACUUUUCUCAAUGUUUUGUCCCUAAUGUUAGUCCCAUCAACAAAAUUGGUCGCUUUCUAAAAGCUUAUCUUAAAUUCAUUGAAGUUGCAGGAGCAAAUACUCUUAGGAAGAAGAAUGCAUGGACUUCAGUUCCUCAGCAGUUAUCAUGCAAGAGCUGAUGGAUCCAUCAUAUUUUCAUCAUCUUCAGUAUUAACCAUAAUGCUAUUUUCUGUGCCUAGUUCACACUACAAAAGACCCUUGCCCUGCAGAUCCUCUGAUUUUUGCAGCACGUUAUCAUGCACUGAACCAUUAGCUUUCCCCUGCGACAGCAAAACAUGAAUUUCAUCUGACUGCUUGCUUUUUGUUAGUUCAUUUUCAGGUGAGCUUGGUGGAGUGAAUGCCUGGGCCCAAGUGAAUCAGCCACUCUUACCUUACAUAAGAAAAUCAAUACGCCAAAGGUCAGGUAAUACAGAAAUAAGGAAACAAAAUAUAGGUUUAAAGAAAGGGCGUUUGUUUUGCACAAUAUUGUUUCAGUUAGUUCUUAAUAAGAGGCAUUUUAAGAGGAACAGCAAGAAUUAAUGCUAUUUAAUAUAAAUCUGUUACAGGCUAAAGAGUAGGUUUUAAACCCACCAAGCUCAUGAUUUAUCAGCUGCAAUGCUUUCAUCAAACAAAUUCUCGAUCAUCAGUUUUGCUGAGUGCUUCUUGAGCCUUGCAACUCCACAUGACAACAGAUUGAAAUAAAUCCUUGUAAAAUAGUCAAAAGCAGUAUAUAUUAACUAAAUAAACAUUAGAAAAGUAUAGCAUUAUAGCUCACUGUCUCAUUUUCUCGUAAAAAAAAUGGUAAUGACAAUAAGCCUUUCAUCAAACUUGUUACAUGGAUGCAACUGAAGUAACGGAACAAUCACAUUUUACGCAUGGAAUUAAAGCCACCGUAUGCAAUAAUGAAACCAUACAUAAAAUGGAAGCAGUAUCUUGCCCCAUGAAAAUAGAGAAGCUUUUCAUCAAAUACCUUUCAGGCAUUGAAGCAAUAGAUGAAACUUGUGGAGCAAUGGGUCUCUGGUACCAACUAAACAGGUCUCCAACGACUCUAGUAAACUUUCCCUGAACAAGUUCCACAGGAUUUGAAUUUUUCUCCUGAAACAUUUAUCCUACUUUCAGACUUCUUUAGUGUGAUAAAUCCAAGCUCCUCUAAUGCCCACACAACCCAUUCCGCAUCCAGUGGAGAAAAGAUGAAUGGCUGUGAUGGAAUUCGCAGAGCAUAACACCGAGACAAAAUCUCAAUCUGAAAUUGCAUAAAUAGCGUCCGCGGAAGCUAUACAUUAUCUCAAUAAACCAAGUAAAAUAGACCAAUUAUCCCUGUUGGCUAGCAGUUUCAAUGCAACAUAAUAAAAUAUGUGAAAUCUGAAAGAGCUGGAAGAUGGAAAGGUGAAUGCAUAACUGGAGCAAUUUUUCAAAUCAUGCAAAAAUGGAAAAAUAUUUUGAAAAUCAUGCAGAUCCAAAAAUAUUUUUGGAGAGAACGACACCAAAGUGGAGUUCGACACCAUGGGUGUCGAACUCUGCUGCCGAAGAAGCUAACAGCUUGGCCGAAAGAAAUGUUCGCCACUUAAGGUAACGAACAUUUCUGCCUGUCACGCACACAAAACUACGCUACGCCGCGUGGCUCUGCACGGACCUGCCUUGUGCAGGUCCGUGAAGCAUUUGAAAUAAACACCCUUUUGUGCAGGUCCGUGAAGCAUUUGAAAUAAACACCCUUUGGCUCUUCCUCUCAUUUUUCCGCAUCACCUUCAUCCUUCUUCUCAUUUUCUCUUCUUCCUCUGCAGCAGUAAAAACUCUCCACCGUUUUCUUCUCUUUUCUUCUUCCUCUCUGUAAAUUCUCUCCAUCUUAAGAUGCUCUGCACCCGUCUCCAUUUUGCGACUGAUAUGCGAAGAAUAUCA